CACAAACCUAUCAGUUGAGCUGAUACACACCUGGGGUCCUAGCACCUAGGAGGGUAAGGAUGAAAGGUCAUGAGUUCCAGACCAAUGUGGGCUACGCAGAGACCCUGUGUCCAAAAAAACGGGGCAAAACAAAAUGCUCUGGAAAAAAGAAAGAAGGAAGAGAAAGACCCAUGGAUGAAUUUAAUCAACUGGAACAUCAGAUUAAAUGUUAUCUGAAGGUCUGAUAGUUUACAUGUGCUCAAAAUCUGUAAGGAUUGGGCUAGGUUUUCUGUAACAGACUGAGUCCCCAAGCUGGUACUCUUCCUUAAAGGGCAUGGUAAUUGAUUUUUAAUAUUUACAGUUCCUGGGAUGGAAUUGAGGGCACAAACAACCAGGGCAAGUGUUCUACCACUGCGAUACACCCCAGCCCCUCACUGGGGGAUUCUAGGCAGGGGCUCUACCACUGAGCCACGCCCCCAGCCCCACACUGGGGGCUUCUAGGCAGGGGCUCUACUGCUGAGCCACACCCCCAGGCCCUCACUGGGGACUGCUCACAAAGCAGACUACCAUACACAGGGCUUCCCCAAAAUGGGUGCACUGACCAUUACCCCCAGUUCCCAAAAUAAUACCCUAGCCAUGGAGGGAGGCCCAGUGUGAGAUCAGGUGUUGGAAAAGGCGCACAUCACUGAGCUCUAAAUGAGCACAGCUUAUGUAAAUAAUCUUAGUAGCAAUAAUAAGGGAGAUAAUUGUUCACAGGUGUCAUUUCCUGGGAAAAAAAAUCCACCUUUUCUACUGAGAGAAAAUGCUAAUAGUUUCAUUCAAUUUAUGAGUCUUAAUUAGCACACUUCUGUUCUAAUUAUUGUGCGGGGCCUGAAAUCACUUUCCUGCACCCCUUCCCUCUCCCACACAGCCACACUCAAUCAGCCACUUCUCUUCCUUUAUGAAUAUGCACUUCUGGGCAUGUGCACACAUCUGCGCAUGUCAAUCACCCAGCACGAGUGAGGGCGGUCUGAAAGAAAGCUGUCAGUCUUGUCUCUAUCAAUGGCCUGUUCCCAGUUUUUUUUUCUCUUCCCCUUUCUCUUCUUGUACUUUAACACACAGACAUAAAUGUGUCUUGACUUUAUUUUUAAGUUGUAUUUAUUUUUAUUUUAUAUGUCUGUGCUUCACUUCUGUGCCUGGUGCCUUCAGAGAGGCUGUCGGAUGCCUGGACCCCUGUGCGGGCGCGUGUGCUUGACUUAAUGCGUGCUGUGACGGGGCUGCAAGCGUCCCAGCAGUCUCCUCCCAUCUUGCUGUAGGAGUCCUGGGAUUAUAGACGCACACCAGUGCUCAUGCCCUUUCUAGAUUUGUGACUGUGUAUCUGUGUGCAUAUAUGCACUCCAACCCAGGUGUCCUCAGAGUCUAGAAGAGGAAGUUGGAGUGGUUGUGAGUUGCCUUAUGGGUGCUGGAAAUUAAGUUUGGGUCCUCUGUUGAGAACAGCCAGUGCUCUUAACCACUGAGCUGUCUCCCAGCCCCUGCAUCUGGCCUUUUAGAUGGGUUCUAGGGAAUCAAAGCUGUGUCUUCAUGCUCGUCUGGUAGUAUUUUUACACACUGAGCCAUCACAUUGGCCACCAUUUAUAUAUAUAUAUAUAUAUACACACAUAUAUAUGUAUAUAUAUAUAUACACACACAUAUACAUAUACACACACACACUCCACACACUCACACACACACACUCCACACACUCACACAUGCACGCACACAUUCCACAUACACACACACAUUCCACACACACACACACUCCACACACUCACACAUACAUGCACACAUUCCACACACUCACACACAUAUUACACACACACACACUCCACACACACACACACACACACUCCACACACUCACACACACACUCCACACACUCACACACACACACAGUUAAGAGCUCUGGCUGUUUUUCCUGAGGAGCAG
rnacentral:lncRNA from 1 species